rnacentral:rRNA from 1 species
GAUGAACGCUGGCGGCGUGCCUAAUACAUGCAAGUAGAACGCUGAAGGAAGGAGCUUGCUCUUUCCGGAUGAGUUGCGAACGGGUGAGUAACGCGUAGGUAACCUGCCUGGUAGCGGGGGAUAACUAUUGGAAACGAUAGCUAAUACCGCAUAACAGUAGAUGUUGCAUGAUAUCUACUUAAAAGGUGCAAUUGCACCACUACCAGAUGGACCUGCGUUGUAUUAGCUAGUUGGUGAGGUAACGGCUCACCAAGGCGACGAUACAUAGCCGACCUGAGAGGGUGAUCGGCCACACUGGGACUGAGACACGGCUCAGACUCCUACGGGAGGCAGCAGUAGGGAAUCUUCGGCAAUGGACGGAAGUCUGACCGAGCAACGCCGCGUGAGUGAAGAAGGUUGUCGGAUCGUAAAGCUCUGUUGUAAGAGAAGAACGAGUGUGAGAGUGGAAAGUUCACACUGUGACGGUAUCUUACCAGAAAGGGACGGCUAACUACGUG